rnacentral:rRNA from 1 species
AGAGUUUGAUCCUGGCUCAGGAUGAACGCUGGCGGCGUGCUUAACACAUGCAAGUCGAACGGAGUAUUGACGCUGAACGAUUGACUAGCUUGCUAAGAUUGAGUUCUUGUUGAUACUUAGUGGCGGACGGGUGAGUAACGCGUGGGUAACCUGCCGUAUGCAGGGGGACAACAGUUGGAAACGACUGCUAAUACCGCAUAUGCACACAGUACCGCAUGGUACAGGGUGGAAAGAAUUUUCGGCAUACGAUGGACCCGCGUCUGAUUAGCUAGUUGGUGAGGUAACGGCCCACCAAGGCGACGAUCAGUAGCCGGCCUGAGAGGGUGAACGGCCACAUUGGGACUGAGACACGGCCCAAACUCCUACGGGAGGCAGCAGUGGGGAAUAUUGCACAAUGGGGGAAACCCUGAUGCAGCGACGCCGCGUGAGUGAAGAAGUAUUUCGGUAUGUAAAGCUCUAUCAGCAGGGAAGAAAAUGACGGUACCUGACUAAGAAGCCCCGGCUAACUACGUGCCAGCAGCCGCGGUAAUACGUAGGGGGCAAGCGUUAUCCGGAUUUACUGGGUGUAAAGGGAGCGCAGACGGAAGAGCAAGUCUGAUGUGAAAUGCGGGGGCUCAACCCCUGAGUUGCAUUGGAAACUGUUAUUCUAGAGUGCAGGAGAGGUAAGUGGAAUUCCUAGUGUAGCGGGUGAAAUGCGUAGAUAUUAGGAGGAACACCGGUGGCGAAGGCGGCUUACUGGACUGUAACUGACGUUGAGGCUCGAAAGCGUGGGGAGCAAACAGGAUUAGAUACCCUGGUAGUCACGCCGUAAACGAUGAUCACUAGGUGUUGGGGACCAAAGGUCUUCGGUGCCGCAGCUAACGCAAUAAGUGAUCCACCUGGGGAGUACGUUCGCAAGAAUGAAACUCAAAGGAAUUGACGGGGACCCGCACAAGCGGUGGAGCAGGUGGUUUAAUUCGAAGCAACGCGAAGAACCUUACCAAGUCUUGACAUCUAACUGACAGAGAGGGUAAUGCCUCUUUUCUUCGGACAGUUAAGACAGGUGGUGCAUGGUUGUCGUCAGCUCGUGUCGUGAGAUGUUGGGUUAAGUCCCGCAACGAGCGCAACCCUUGCCUUUAGUAGCCAGCAGUAAGAUGGGAACUCUAAAGGGACUGCCAGGGAUAACCUGGAGGAAGGUGGGGAUGACGUCAAAUCAUCAUGCCCCUUAUGACUUGGGCUACACACGUGCUACAAUGGCGUAAACAAAGGGACGCGAAGGGGUGACCCGGAGCAAAUCCCAAAAAUAACGUCUCAGUUCGGACUGUAGUCUGCAACCCGACUACACGAAGCUGGAAUCGCUAGUAAUCGCAGAUCAGAAUGCUGCGGUGAAUACGUUCCCGGGUCUUGUACACACCGCCCGUCACACCAUGGGAGUAGGUAAUACCCGAAGUCCGUGACUUAACCGAAAGGAGAGAGCGGCCGAAGGUAGGACUUAUAACUGGGGUGAAGUCGUAACAAGGUAGCCGUAGGAGAACCUGCGGCUGGAACACCUCCUU